ensembl:lncRNA
CGCCACCUUUCACUCCGGAGACCCGGCUUCAAAUCCCUGUGCGGCCCUGACCCGUGACAGAAGAACUCAGCCAAAAAUAAAUGGAUCAAGCAGAGCAAGUUCCUCUCCCUGACCUGGAAACCACCAUUCACCAACUGGUAGCUGCAGUUCAUAGCCAGGAGGCUACUAUGCAGCGACACGAACAGACUUUAGUUCAUCAGCAUGCGGAGAUGGAUCAUCAUGGAGCAAUGCUGAGAGAUAUCCGUCAAGCCCUCCAACCCCUUGCUCCAGCUCCCUCACCGGCUCCUGCUCCCCCGGUCUGCCCAGCUCCUACAGCACCCCACCAUGAGCCACGGCUGCCUACUCCAGAAAGGAAGAUGAUGCGGGUGUCCCCUCACCCUACUCCGGGCUUCCCAGGGUUACCAGCAGCAGGCCAACCUUCGUAGGAGACCGGGCCAACCUUUCCGGCUAGGACAGAGGGUGUGGCUAGCCUCCAAGGACCAUCCGUUGAAGGUGGAAAAUCGGAAGCUGGCACCCCACUUUGUUGGUCCCUUCAAGGUGGUGAGGCGAGUCAACCCAGUUGCCUACACACUGCAUCUGCCUCAUUCUAUGCGGGUCAACCCAACGUUCCCUGUCUCCCGUCUUCGUCCAGUGGUUACCUCACCACUUCUUCCUAGACCCAAACCCCCACCUCCUCCACAGGUCAUUGAUGGGCAGACUACAUUUACUGUCAACCGACUGCUGGAUUUCCGGCGGGUCCGGGGCGGUCUCCAGGGUUGACUGGGAAGGCUAUGGUCUGGAGGAGCGUUCAUGGAUAGCGGCUCGGAACAUGGAGAGACUUUCACCAGUCACAUCAUGAUCGACCAGGGAUCGUCAGGAGACGAUCCUAAAGGGAGGGGUCCUGUCAGGCCCUAAGAACUUUCAAGCUGCAGUUACUGCCUUCUGCCACUAGAUGUCCUCAUUUGUACCUUUGUACAGCUUUUGUUGAUCACCUGAUUUGUUCUGCUCAUGUGAUUGAGUGAUUACACCUGUUUGAUUGUAAUUAGUCAGGGUAUUUAAAGAGCAUGUGAGCAUACGUGUU